rnacentral:lncRNA from 1 species
UUUAUAUUUUGCACAGGACAGGACAUCUAGAGGGGGCCAGCUAUUGGGAUUGGUUUCAUAGGUCUGUGACAUCAGGGACAGGGCCCUGUGGUUCUCUUGGCCUCUCCUUUAUAGUCACAAGGUAGCUCUCAUGGCUCCACGCAUCCUGUGUGCUUUCAUGAAGGAGGGGAAGGGGGCUGUGUGUUUCCCUUUCUUCAAGACAGCAGAAACUUUCUCAGAUUCCAGAGCAGGCAUUCCUUUCACCUCCUAUCCCGGACCUAGGCCACUGGGCAGCCCCUAGUUGAUGGGAGGCUGCUGGGAGCAGGUAUCCGUGACUGUCUGGGGCUGGGACAUGUUACAGCCCCAGACAGCAUUGGGAAUGCAGGGGAGGAGGACACUUGGAUAUGGAAUAGGCAGCUAGCAGGGUCUGUCUCAGGCAGGA